AGAUGGCCGAAGGCGCCCGGCGGGGGUGAGCGGGGGGCGCGGUGCAGCCAGCCGGGGAGCCCUCGGGCGGGCAGGCCAGCGGCGCCUCCCCCGCGGCCACCAUGUCGUUCGCGCUGGAGGAGACGCUCGAGUCGGACUGGGUGGCCGUGCGGCCGCAUGUGUUCGACGAGCGCGAGAAGCACAAGUUCGUCUUCAUUGUGGCCUGGAACGAGAUCGAGGGCAAGUUUGCCAUAACCUGCCACAACCGGACGGCCCAGAGGCAGAGGAGCGGCUCCCGGGAGCAGGCGGGGGCGCGAGGGGGCGCCGAGCCCGCAGCGCCAGCGCCCGACGGGGCCCGCGGGCCGGGCAGCCCAGCCGGCAGGGGCCGGCUCGAGGCCGCCGCCUCUGGGACUCCGGGCAGGAGCCCCGGGCCCCGGAGGAGCCCGGCCUGGGCGGACGGCGGCUCCCCGCGGAGCGCGCGCGGCCCUCGGGGCGACCCGUUGCUGCGCUGUGCGGCCGGCAGAGGGGCGGAGAGCCCCCUCUGGAGCCCGGGGCGCGCCCAGAGCGGGCCGGCCCGCAGGGGCCCCGAAGGCAGGGACGCGGCCGAGGCAGCCCCGCCGGCAGCCCCGCCGGCGCCCAGGGAGGCCCCGGUGUCCUCGGUGCGAGUCGUGAGCGCCUGCGGGGCGGUCUCCGAGGAGAUAGAGGUGCUGGAAAUGGUGAGGGAGGACGAGGUGGCCCCGGCGGCCCUGGCGCUCUCGGACGCAGAGCAGCCGCCCUCCGGCGCCGAGCUGGAGUCCCCGGCCGAGGAGUGCAGCUGGGCCGGGCUCUUCUCCUUCCAGGACCUGCGCGCUGUGCACCAGCAGCUGUGCUCGGUGAACUCGCAGCUGGAGCAGUGCCUGCCCGUGUUCCCCGAGGAGCCCUCUGGCAUGUGGACCGUGCUGUUCGGGGGCGCCCCAGAGAUGACCGAGCAGGAGAUCGACACUCUGUGUUACCAGCUCCAGGUCUACCUGGGCCACGGCCUGGACACCUGCGGCUGGAAGAUCCUGUCCCAGGUGCUUUUCACCGAGACCGACGAUCCCGAGGAGUAUUACGAAAGCCUGAGCGAGCUGCGGCAGAAGGGCUACGAAGAAGUGCUUCAGCGGGCCCGGAAGCGCAUCCAGGAGCUCCUGGAUAAGCACAAGAAUACAGAAAGCAUGGUUGAGCUUCUGGACUUGUAUCAGAUGGAGGAUGAAGCCUAUAGCAGCCUUGCAGAAGCCACAACUGAACUAUAUCAGUAUUUACUACAGCCAUUCAGAGACAUGAGAGAACUUGCCAUGCUACGAAGACAGCAGAUUAAGAUUUCUAUGGAGAAUGAUUAUCUCGGUCCCCGGAGAAUUGAAAGUCUACAGAAAGAAGAUGCUGAUUGGCAGCGAAAAGCUCACAUGGCUGUGCUGUCUAUUCAAGACCUUACUGUCAAAUAUUUUGAAAUAACAGCAAAAGCACAAAAAGCUGUGUAUGAUCGAAUGCGAGCAGAUCAGAAGAAAUUUGGUAAAGCAUCAUGGGCAGCAGCUGCAGAACGUAUGGAAAAACUCCAGUAUGCGGUUUCUAAGGAGACUCUACAGAUGAUGAGAGCGAAAGAGAUCUGUUUGGAACAGAGGAAACAUGCACUAAAAGAAGAGAUGCAGAGUUUGCAGGGUGGUACAGAAGCCAUAGCCCGAUUGGAUCAGUUAGAAGCUGAUUAUUAUGAUCUGCAACUUCAGUUGUAUGAAGUACAGUUUGAAAUCCUGAAGUGUGAGGAGUUGUUAUUGACAGCACAACUGGAAAGCAUCAAAAGACUUAUAUCAGAAAAGAGAGAUGAAGUGGUAUACUAUGACACUUACGAAAGCAUGGAGGCCAUGCUGGAGAAGGAAGAGAUGGCAGCGUCUGUGCACUUACAGAGAGAAGAGCUACAGAAACUUCAGCAGAAAGCACGCCAGCUGGAAGCAAGACGUGGACGGGUUUCAGCCAAGAAAGCCUACCUCAGAAAUAAAAAGGAAAUUUGUAUUGCAAAACACAAUGAAAAGUUCCAACAGCGCCUUCGGAGUGAAGAUGAGUAUAGAACCCAUCACACAGUACAACUAAAGAGAGAAAAAUUACACGAUGAAGAAGAAAGAAAAAGUGCUUGGGUUAGCCAGGAGAGACAAAGAACACUGGAUAGACUUCGAAAUUUUAAACAGAGAUACCCUGGCCAAGUCAUACUUAAAUCAACCAGAUUGCGACUGGCUCAUGCAAGAAGAAGAAGCACAGCCAGUCCUGUGCCCUGUGAGGAGCAGUGUGACUCUCUGCCAGGGGCGCUACAGGUAGAAGAUAAAAGUGAAAAGGUGGAGGAAGGAAGAGGCAAGCUUGAGUCAUCACAGAAAACAGAAGCCCAAAGCCUCGCACAACUUGAAGAUACUUCAUUAGCACAACUUGAAGCCACUUCAUUACCUCUCAGUGGUGUUACCUCUGAACUGCCACCCACUGUUUCUCUUCCACUUUUGAAUAAUAUUGACCUCGAACCAGGUUCUGUUACCAUAGCUCCACUUCCCCCACCUCUUCCUCCAACACCGCCUCCACCACCACCACCACCACCUCCUCCUCCCCCACCACCACCUUUGCCUGUUGCUAAGGACAACUCCCUAGAGACACUGGAGAAAGGUCUGCCUAGGACAGAGGGGAAUGAGAAGAGGAUCCCGAAGUCUGCAAGUGCCCCCUCAGCACAUCUCUUUGACAGCAGCCAGCUGGUCAGUGCCAGGAAGAAGCUCAAAAAGACUGCAGAAGGUUUGCAGAGGAGAAGAGUGAGUUCACCCAUGGAUGAGGUGCUAGCUUCCUUGAAGCGUGGUAGUUUUCACCUGAAAAAAGUUGAACAGCGAACUCUGCCUCCUUUUCCUGACGAGGAUGAUAGUAAUAAUAUCUUGGCACAAAUCAGGAAAGGGGUAAAAUUGAAGAAGGUACAGAAGGAAGUUCUCAGAGAAUCCUUCACGCUUCUGCCUGACACAGACCCUCUAACACGGAGCAUCCAUGAGGCUCUUAGAAGAAUCAAAGAGGCGUCCCCUGAGUCGGAGGAUGAAGAGGAGGCUUUGCCUUGCACAGAUUGGGAAAACUAACAAAUCAGCUUCCUACAGAUCUGAAAUCAUUAAUUAGCUCUUCAGAAAAACAAGUAAUUUCUCAAAACUUCAUGAAAUAGUCAUUAUCUCCUGUUCUGCUGUGUCUUCCUUUAAAACUCUUUUAAGAACUAGUCGUAGGUGACUCAACAGAAAAAAAAUACCUUCAGUUGAAGAUCAAAGAUUUGUUUUUGAAAAAACAAAAUUUUAAACACGUGAUUUCCCAGCUGGAUUCCAUUAGAUGCAAAAAGUGUGUUGGCUCAGUGGUAUGAAAAAAUGGAAGCACAAUUGGCAAGUUAACGCUUUUCCAGUCAUUCCAGUAGUUGGUGGUUAACAUGAGUUUUAGAUGUGCAAUGCUCCUGAUGCAAUGAAGAAAAGGCCUUCCAGAGAUGCCUGUUUUUUUUUUAAGCACCUUCCCCUCCUGUCCACCCACGUACAUCCUUGUAGUGGCCGCUAAAGCUAGGUGUUGUUCUAAGUUGGAAGAACAGUGGGCUGACAGAGAUCUACUGUGAGCUGUAUUGGGACUGCUUUGAAAUCCAUCUUUCCACGCACUGAAUAGUCCUCUGCUUGAAAACACAGAGCUGCUUCCAUAUCAGCUUUUAUAAAUAGUACAGCACUCUGAAAAAGUUUAUCAUGAUAGCUAUAGGAUAGAAAUUGGAAAGAAUCAGAUGGAAAUGCCCUGAAAAUUUCCAUCUUACUCAUCUCCAGAGGAAAUUUCAUAAAGAUGUUCAACAUCUGAAAAGAAAGAUAACCACGGAGAUACACUUAAUGUGUUUACCACAACAUGAUACAUUUAAC